rnacentral:rRNA from 1 species
CCCGCCGGCGACCGGCGCACGGGUGAGUAACACGUAUGAAACCUGCCCGUAGCAGGGGGAUAAGCGGAAGAAAUUCCGUCUAAUACCGCGUAACAACCCGAGGAGGCAUCUCCUCGGGUUUAAAGGAAGCGAUUCCGGCUACGGAUGGGCAUGCGGCGCAUUAGCUUGUUGGCGGGGUAACGGCCCACCAAGGCGACGAUGCGUAGGGGUUCUGAGAGGAAGGUCCCCCACACUGGUACUGAGACACGGACCAGACUCCUACGGAAGGCAGCAG